rnacentral:rRNA from 1 species
UACGUAGGGGGCAAGCGUUGUCCGGAUUUAUUGGGCGUAAAGAGCGUGUAGGCGGCCUGACAGGUCUGCUGUGAAAACUCGAGGCUCAACCUCGAGAUGUCGGCGGAAACCGUCUGGCUAGAGUCCGGAAGAGGAGAGUGGAAUUCCUGGUGUAGCGGUGAAAUGCGCAGAUAUCAGGAGGAACACCAAUGGCGAAGGCAGCACUCUGGUACGUGACUGACGCUGAGACGCGAAAGCGUGGGGAGCAAACAGG